rfam:Triticum urartu cultivar G1812 contig1185480, whole genome shotgun sequence.
GAAUUACUCCCUUCAUCCGAAAAUACUUGUCAUCAAAAUGUAUAAAAAGAGAUGUAUCUAGAACUAAAAUAUGUCUAGAUACAUCCCUUCUAUCCAUUUUGAUAACGAGUAUUUCUGGACGAAGGAAGUAUAAA